UUUUUUCCCUCUCUGUGGUUCAAUACAGUUCUGUACAGUCUCAGUUUAGAUGUUAUUGUGUAUGUGUUAUUUUAUUAGCUCGAAGCUCCAACAGGCCUCCUCUCCAGAACAGGAGGAAGGCAUUAUCCCGGACUCACCAGUGCUUCCGAGCUCGCUACCAGUGGUGAACAGGCUGAAGAAAUGCAAAAAUGUGAACAAACAGAAGCAGGUUCGUUAUGCAGAAUUGCCUUUACCACAGCGCAACACAUCACUCUUAAAAGAGUUGAGUGAGGAGCCUUUUGAUUCCUCAAAGAAUCCUGGGGGAGCAAAAGUGCUUGUACCUGGCACAUGUGAACUGGAUACAUCCCAAAUCUCAGAUGUGAACGAUGAUUUGGACGAGGUGAUUGCAGAAACAUGUGUCCUUGAACUUCUUGUUGACAAGCCUCACAUGGUAGGCAGGUUUUAUAUAGACACAGUGUGGUAAAUAAUAUAAAACACAUCACAAUUUUGAAACUUUUUUUUCCUCUCCUCAGAAAACUAAAGCAAAUGCAGAGCACCAAAGCAGCUCAAAUCCUCCAUGGAAGAGCAAUGUUAAUAUGAAUCCAGACUCAACCGCCGAAAGAUCUUUGUCUCUUCUGCCCCGAGUCAAGAGGUUUUCUGAAGAUUGCGCCAUUAACAAAGCAAAACGGAAGAAAGAGGAAAGUGACAACAGCCAACAGAUGGAGGAGCGCAUGGAGGAGCACACACAGGAGGAAGAUAGACAAGUGGUCAAACAGACUAGCAUUAAACAGCUCCUGCCUAAAAAGGUUCAAUCAGAUCAGAAUGGGACUUUGAGCCAAUGGCUGCCCACUUUCAAGAUGCCAAAUCGGAAGGUUAAAAAGGAAGAGGAGGAUGUGAAGGAAAAAGAACCCAUGAGGGAUCUGAACACUUCACAUGGUCAACAUGACUCAGGAGAUGGUGAGUGUUUUGAUUGUAGACUAAAUGUUGAACAAUUUAAGGCAUUAAGAAUUUCCAGU
rnacentral:lncRNA from 1 species